AUUAGCCCUGGCCAGUGGACCCACAAUGUCAACAGCUAUGCGGGAAAAGGGCUCCCCUAUAGUAGGCAUCGAUAAUAACCUAGCCUUAGGGUGGUCCCCCCGCUUUCCUACCCGUUGACAUGUGUCGCACGUACUGCAAUACAUCCGCACAGCCUGGUUAAAGUUGGGCAAAAAGAAAUUCUGUGAGAUCCUAUAGGCUGUGCGACGGGACCCUAGAUGUCCAGCUAAUGGAACAUCAUGCCCUAUCCGCAGAAUCUCCUGCCGGUAUUUUGCAGGUACCACUAGCUGUCGAUUCGGUGGAGGGGCUACACUCUUCUGGGAAGGCUUCAGGAUCCUAUAUAGCCUGUCCCCCACCCACUCAUACCGCUCCC